rnacentral:rRNA from 1 species
GUAGGGUGCAAGCGUUGUCCGGAAUUAUUGGGCGUAAAGAGCUCGUAGGCGGUUUGUCGCGUCUGCUGUGAAAUCCCGAGGCUCAACCUCGGGCCUGCAGUGGGUACGGGCAGACUAGAGUGCGGUAGGGGAGAUUGGAAUUCCUGGUGUAGCGGUGGAAUGCGCAGAUAUCAGGAGGAACACCGAUGGCGAAGGCAGAUCUCUGGGCCGUAACUGACGCUGAGGAGCGAAAGGGUGGGGAGCAAACAGGCUUAGAUACCCUGGUAGUCCACCCCGUAAACGUUGGGAACUAGAUGUAGGGUCCAUUCCACGGAUUCUGUGUCGCAGCUAACGCAUUAAGUUCCCCGCCUGGGGAGUACGGCCGCAAGGCUAAAACUCAAAGGAAUUGACGGGGGCCCGCACAAGCGGCGGAGCAUGCGGAUUAAUUCGAUGCAACGCGAAGAACCUUACCAAGGCUUGACAUAUACCGGAAACGUCCAGAGAUGGUCGCCCCGUAAGGUCGGUAUACAGGUGGUGCAUGGUUGUCGUCAGCUCGUGUCGUGAGAUGUUGGGUUAAGUCCCGCAACGAGCGCAACCCUCGUUCUAUGUUGCCAGCACGUAAUGGUGGGAACUCAUGGGAUACUGCCGGGGUCAACUCGGAGGAAGGUGGGGAUGACGUCAAAUCAUCAUGCCCCUUAUGUCUUGGGCUUCACGCAUGCUACAAUGGCCAGUACAAUGGGCUGCGAUACCGCAAGGUGGAGCGAAUCCCAAAAAGCUGGUCCCAGUUCGGAUUGAGGUCUGCAACUCGACCUCAUGAAGUCGGAGUCGCUAGUAAUCGCAGAUCAGCAACGCUGCGGUGAAUACGUUCCCGGGCCUUGUACACACCGCCCGUCAAGUCAUGAAAGUCGGUAACACCCGACGCCGGUGGCCUAACCCGCAAGGGAGGGAGCCGUCUAAGGUGGGAUUGGUAAUUAGGACUAAGUCGUAACAAGGUAGCCGUACCGGAAGGUGCGGCUG